GGGUAUUCAUGUAUGUACCAACACAUAAAAGGUGGAACUAGAAAAUCGAUGUUUUACACUAUCAUUUAAAUCGAAAAGAUUUAAAAUGAAAUUAGGACUUCUUACAUAUUGUAAACCGAGUUACUGGGUUAUGAUUGUGCAGUGUCCUUGAAUUAGACCACUUCAUCAACAUAUGAAUCAUUGCUCGGUAGAUGUAUCUUGAGAUCAUCCAAGCUGCCACACCCACGGAUGCUCAACCCAUGCUCAUUAGCCAAAUGUAAUAGGCAUAUGAAGCAAAGAUGAGGAGAAAUUUCAUUGAUACUUGCUGCUGCUCUGCAGUCACUUGGAAACCCAGACAAGAGUUUCCUGAAAGAUACUGCCUCUUCUUGAUGCUGAUUAGACUUUUGACGAGAUUCUUGCAUAUGGUGCCAAAGAGUUUCCUUCAGUGUCUGGACAUCGACUUGCUUAGAAGUCUUGUCAUACUGGACUUCAAUUUUGUUUACCUGGCGAGGCUGAGAAACAAGUGUGUUGGGAUCUUCCACAUCACUAUAAGCAUUUCCAUCAUCAAAUUCACCACCAAAAACAUUUCCGUCAUCCCAGGAUGGCACCUCUCCAUAGUCAUCUGACUGCUGCCUAAAUUCAUCUGAGCGCCUAUUCCCUCUCUUCCCAAUGCACAUUGUAUUAGGUAGAAUAAAUAAUUUAACAAGUUCCUCUGGUUGAUAGUGGCAAUCUUCAGGCAGUGUUGUGUUGCAAGGUGCUCUAGUUGCAGGCAAAAGUAAUGACUUGGGAUUUUUUGGAGGGGCAAACAAAUCGGGCAUCUUUUCAUCCAGGGCUUUUGUGAAAUCAAUAUCAAGUUCAGCUUGCCUCUUAGUCUUGGUUCUCUUAGUACUCACUGGUGAUUCUUUUUCAGUAGUAGAAUGAUCCUCUGAACCUAUAGAACAGCUUCAAAAUACCUUGCAAAUGGUCUACUGAUUAAAAAAAAAAAUGAGCAUAUUAUCCUAAACCUUACCUUUAGAUUUUCGAUACUUCCAAUGAUCAGGACCUGCCCAAGCAUUUUGUUUAGAGGUGAAUCCCAAACUAAAAAACAAGUACCCAUCAACAUUCUCAAAUCUGUCAUCUGUAUCAGAGUUGUGGAAAGAAAAUUGUUCAUUUUCCUCAUGAAAACUUGGCAAAGAUGUAUCUGCACCAAUAGGAUCAUCAUCGACAACACUUGCUUGCUCAUCAUGUUCAAAAGUCCAUUUAUCACAACACCCAAAUGCAUUACCAUCAAAAUCAACUUCUUCAUUAUGAGUUUCAUCAUCUUUAUCAACUUGCUGACAAGAUUUAUGGAGAGAAGGAAAAGUGUCUAAUGGCCUUUUAUUAUCUUCAUCAAAUUGGCUGACUAUGCUUUGCAGAGUUGGAGAAAUUUCAUCCUUUCUUUGCAUGUUCAGUACCAUCUGUUCAAUGAAAUCUCUAGCAAAGGAAAGAUCAAUUGUUUCUUGUCUUUCAUGUUGAUUUUCACGUUGUGUGAACUUCCCUGGUACCUCCUGUGAGUCAAAGAGCACUUGACACCCACCAUAGACUCCAAGAUUGUUCAAUAAAAGACCCUUAGCUCCACCUUCAUCAAAUUGUGCAGAUGUUUGAUGAUACAAUGGAUCCACAGCAAAUGCAGCAUCAAACUUCUUCACAUUAAGAGCCUCAAAAGAUGAUUCCAGUGUUGACAAAGGUGAAAUCUUUCUUUCUAUCUCUUUUUUGGAAUGGCCUUCUUGUGCAUUGUCAACGUUGCUACCCUCCGGAAUAGCAUCUUGUUCAUUUUCUUGACCAGCUCUAUUAAUCCCACCAAGGACCUUGUAUGCUUCUGAAUGCACUGAAUCCACCCUUAACGAGUAAAUUUUAACUCCAGCUUCUAGAGUGCAACUGGCCUUUUGAAAAUUGGUCUCUACAUCCUCCUCUUCUUCGACCUUGAUAAUCUCGCAAAGAUGGUCUAUCAAACUCAGUUCCCAUGUGUUCUUCUGAUUUAUUUUAUUUUCGCUGGCAAGCUUUAUACAAUUCUGGAAGAGGUCGAGGAUCUGCUGCUUGUCGAGGCAGGGAUCGGAAUUUUGGCCAGGAGGCGGCGAAGCAAGGGUGGAGAUGGGCUUGCGGCGGAUAGCGGCAGCGCGGGCGGCCCUGGCCUGAGCCCGUUCGAGCUUAUCGUCGUUGGAACCCAAGAUGAAGGGACUAGUUGGGGAUUGAAUCCUGGGAAGCCUCUGCUUGAGAGAUGGGUUAGGGCUUAGGAUUUGCGCCAUUUUCCAGUGGAAUAGAUAGAUGGAGAGAGAGAGAG
rnacentral:misc_RNA from 1 species